GACGAACGCUGGCGGCGUGCCUAAUACAUGCCAGUAGAACGCACAGUUUAUACCGUAGCUUGCUACACCAUAGACUGUGAGUUGCGAACGGGUGAGUAACGCGUAGGUAACCUGCCUGGUAGCGGGGGAUAACUAUUGGAAACGAUAGCUAAUACCGCAUAAUAUUAAUUAUUGCAUGAUAAUUAAUUGAAAGGUGCAAUUGCACCACUACCAGAUGGACCUGCGUUGUAUUAGCUAGUAGGUGAGGUAACGGCUCACCUAGGCGACGAUACAUAGCCGAACUGAGAGGGGGAUCGGCCACACUGGGACUGAGACACGGCCCAGACUCCUACGGGAGGCAGCAGUAGGGAAUCUUCGGCAAUGGACGAAAGUCUGACCGAGCAACGCCGCGUGAGUGAAGAAGGUUUUCGGAUCGUAAAGCUCUGUUGUAAGAGAAGAACGGGUGUGAGAGUGGAAAGUGCACACUGUGACGGUAUCUUACCAGAAAGGGACGGCUAACUACGU
rnacentral:rRNA from 1 species